rnacentral:rRNA from 1 species
AUGGGUGUGCCCCGUGGUGGGGAUGAUGUCCCUUACAGUCUGCCCAUAGAAGCUGAUAUUGAGUUAGGGAUUGAGAUGUUUGGUGAGCUUGGCCACACACCAAAAAUGACUGAUGUCCUUGAUCUCAUAACAAGUUCUGUCAAUUAUGAUGAGAAGUUCAAGCGGAUGUGGCUUAUGCUUGCCGGCAAUACCGUCAUUGCGCCUACUACAUCCAACAAGAUCAGCCCUAUAUGGUAUGGUGUGCUACAAAACAUUAAUAGAGUCAAGGACUUGAACUGGCCCAAGUUCAUUGCUGAUGAGCUCCAUAAGGCAUUAUUGAAGGGGAGGCCUACAAAGGGGUGUCUUCUUUUCUACAAUCUUUUGUACAUUGAUGCUAUCGAUCUUACUGGUCUUGGUAUCUCAUUGCCCGAUGGUGCGUUUGCUAUCAAUGUUUGGACAAAAGAGAAGAUAUCUGAAUUGCUUAGUAUGGAUGUCCAAGCGGACGGAAUUCUUAUGGGAAACUACCGUUGA